rnacentral:rRNA from 1 species
AGAGUUUGAUCCUGGCUCAGGACGAACGCUGGCGGCGUGCCUAAUACAUGCAAGUAGAACGCUGAAGGAGGAGCUUGCUUCUCUGGAUGAGUUGCGAACGGGUGAGUAACGCGUAGGUAACCUGCCUGGUAGCGGGGGAUAACUAUUGGAAACGAUAGCUAAUACCGCAUAAGAGUAGAUGUUGCAUGACAUUUGCUUAAAAGGUGCACUUGCAUCACUACCAGAUGGACCUGCGUUGUAUUAGCUAGUUGGUGGGGUAACGGCUCACCAAGGCGACGAUACAUAGCCGACCUGAGAGGGUGAUCGGCCACACUGGGACUGAGACACGGCCCAGACUCCUACGGGAGGCAGCAGUAGGGAAUCUUCGGCAAUGGACGGAAGUCUGACCGAGCAACGCCGCGUGAGUGAAGAAGGUUUUCGGAUCGUAAAGCUCUGUUGUAAGAGAAGAACGAGUGUGAGAGUGGAAAGUUCACACUGUGACGGUAUCUUACCAGAAAGGGACGGCUAACUACGUGCCAGCAGCCGCGGUAAUACGUAGGUCCCGAGCGUUGUCCGGAUUUAUUGGGCGUAAAGCGAGCGCAGGCGGUUAGAUAAGUCUGAAGUUAAAGGCUGUGGCUUAACCAUAGUAGGCUUUGGAAACUGUUUAACUUGAGUGCAAGAGGGGAGAGUGGAAUUCCAUGUGUAGCGGUGAAAUGCGUAGAUAUAUGGAGGAACACCGGUGGCGAAAGCGGCUCUCUGGCUUGUAACUGACGCUGAGGCUCGAAAGCGUGGGGAGCAAACAGGAUUAGAUACCCUGGUAGUCCACGCUGUAAACGAUGAGUGCUAGGUGUUAGACCCUUUCCGGGGUUUAGUGCCGUAGCUAACGCAUUAAGCACUCCGCCUGGGGAGUACGACCGCAAGGUUGAAACUCAAAGGAAUUGACGGGGGCCCGCACAAGCGGCGGAGCAUGUGGUUUAAUUCGAAGCAACGCGAAGAACCUUACCAGGUCUUGACAUCCCUCUGACCGCUCUAGAGAUAGAGCUUUCCUUCGGGACAGAGGUGACAGGUGGUGCAUGGUUGUCGUCAGCUCGUGUCGUGAGAUGUUGGGUUAAGUCCCGCAACGAGCGCAACCCCUAUUGUUAGUUGCCAUCAUUUAGUUGGGCACUCUAGCGAGACUGCCGGUAAUAAACCGGAGGAAGGUGGGGAUGACGUCAAAUCAUCAUGCCCCUUAUGACCUGGGCUACACACGUGCUACAAUGGCUGGUACAACGAGUCGCAAGCCGGUGACGGCAAGCUAAUCUCUUAAAGCCAGUCUCAGUUCGGAUUGUAGGCUGCAACUCGCCUACAUGAAGUCGGAAUCGCUAGUAAUCGCGGAUCAGCACGCCGCGGUGAAUACGUUCCCGGGCCUUGUACACACCGCCCGUCACACCACGAGAGUUUGUAACACCCGAAGUCGGUGAGGUAACCGUAAGGAGCCAGCCGCCUAAGGUGGGAUAGAUGAUUGGGGUGAAGUCGUAACAGGUUAGCCGUAUCGGAAGGUGCGGCUGGAUCACCU